rnacentral:rRNA from 1 species
UCUCGCCUGCCCUGUGACCAUGAGUUUAACGGCCGCGGUAUUUUGACCGUGCAAAGGUAGCGCAAUCACUUGUCUUUUAAAUGAAGACCUGUAUGAAUGGCAUAACGAGGGCUUAACUGUCUCCCUUUUCCAGUCAAUGAAAUUGAUCUCCCCGUGCAGAAGCGGGGAUUAAAACAUAAGACGAGAAGACCCUAUGGAGCUUUAGACAAAGAGCAGACCAUGUUAAACACACCUAAAUAAAGGACAAAACCAAUUGGCCCCUGCCCUUAUGUCUUUGGUUGGGGCGACCGCGGGGAAACAAAAAACCCCCAUGUGGACUGAAGACAUUCCUCUUCACAACCAAGAGCCACAGCUCUAAGCAACAGAACAUCUGACCAACAAGAUCCGGCACUAAGCCGAUCAACGGACCGAGUUACCCUAGGGAUAACAGCGCAAUCUCCUUUUAGAGCCCCCAUCGACAAGGAGGUUUACGACCUCGAUGUUGGAUCAGGACAUCCUAAUGGUGCAGCCGCUAUUAAGGGUUCGUUUGUUCAACGAUUAAAGUCCUACG